rnacentral:lncRNA from 1 species
GCUGUUCAUAGUCUGCAUGUAGGUUACAUGUUAGGAAUACAUUUAUCAUUUCCAGAGUUGUUGCUAGGGAUUAAAUGAAAUGCUCUGUUUCUAAAACUUACCUUGAACCCAAAUUUAAUUUUUUGAAUGAUUAUCCCUGUUACUAUAUAAACUGUCUUGAAAACUAGAACAUUUCUCCUCCUCAGAAAGUGUUUUUCCAACUGCAAAUUAUUUUUCAGGUCCUAAAACCUGCUAAAUGUUUUUAGGAAGUACUUAAACUGAAACAUUUUUGUAAGACAUUUUUGGAAUGAGAUUGAAUUUGGGCCACUAUUAGUGAUAUAAAUGUCAUUAUUUCUGACUUUUAAACAAAG